AGAUUGAAGGAGCUUGCUCCUGAUUGAUAAACAUUUGAGUGAGUGGCGGACGGGUGAGUAACACGUGGGUAACCUGCCCUAAAGUGGGGGAUAACAUUUGGAAACAGAUGCUAAUACCGCAUAAAACCUAACACCGCAUGGUGUAGGGUUGAAAGAUGGUUUCGGCUAUCACUUUAGGAUGGACCCGCGGUGCAUUAGUUAGUUGGUGAGGUAAAGGCUCACCAAGACCGUGAUGCAUAGCCGACCUGAGAGGGUAAUCGGCCACACUGGGACUGAGACACGGCCCAGACUCCUACGGGAGGCAGCAGUAGGGAAUCUUCCACAAUGGACGAAAGUCUGAUGGAGCAACGCCGCGUGAGUGAAGAAGGUUUUCGGAUCGUAAAACUCUGUUGUUGGAGAAGAAUGUAUCUGAUAGUAACUGAUCAGGUAGUGACGGUAUCCAACCAGAAAGCCACGGCUAACUACGUGCCAGCAGCCGCGGUAAUACGUAGGUGGCAAGCGUUGUCCGGAUUUAUUGGGCGUAAAGCGAGCGCAGGCGGUUUCUUAAGUCUGAUGUGAAAGCCUUCGGCUCAACCGAAGAAGUGCAUCGGAAACUGGGAAACUUGAGUGCAGAAGAGGACAGUGGAACUCCAUGUGUAGCGGUGAAAUGCGUAGAUAUAUGGAAGAACACCAGUGGCGAAGGCGGCUGUCUGGUCUGUAACUGACGCUGAGGCUCGAAAGCAUGGGUAGCAAACAGGAUUAGAUACCCUGGUAGUCCAUGCCGUAAACGAUGAGUGCUAGGUGUUGGAGGGUUUCCGCCCUUCAGUGCCGCAGCUAACGCAUUAAGCACUCCGCCUGGGGAGUACGACCGCAAGGUUGAAACUCAAAGGAAUUGACGGGGGCCCGCACAAGCGGUGGAGCAUGUGGUUUAAUUCGAAGCAACGCGAAGAACCUUACCAGGUCUUGACAUCCUUUGACCACUCUAGAGAUAGAGCUUUCCCUUCGGGGACAAAGUGACAGGUGGUGCAUGGUUGUCGUCAGCUCGUGUCGUGAGAUGUUGGGUUAAGUCCCGCAACGAGCGCAACCCUUAUUACUAGUUGCCAGCAUUAAGUUGGGCACUCUAGUGAGACUGCCGGUGACAAACCGGAGGAAGGUGGGGACGACGUCAAAUCAUCAUGCCCCUUAUGACCUGGGCUACACACGUGCUACAAUGGAUGGUACAACGAGUUGCGAGACCGCGAGGUUUAGCUAAUCUCUUAAAACCAUUCUCAGUUCGGAUUGUAGGCUGCAACUCGCCUACAUGAAGCCGGAAUCGCUAGUAAUCGCGGAUCAGCAUGCCGCGGUGAAUACGUUCCCGGGCCUUGUACACACCGCCCGUCACACCAUGAGAGU
rnacentral:rRNA from 2 species